UGCAUCGGCCGGGAAUCGAACCCGGGCCGCCCGCGUGGUAGGCGAGCAUUCUACCACUAAGCCACCGAUGC
rnacentral:tRNA from 1 species